AAAGAGAAAAAGGACUUGCUUCUGUUUGUUUGCUAGUUUCUUUUGAUCUGAGGGAACAUUUUCUAUGAUCCUGUUAAGGAUUGUCCUUUUUACCCUAAACUUUUAAGGUGAGAAAACUGAGGUGUUAACAGGCCUAGCAACUUGCCAGGAUAUUCAAAUCAUAGGUGGCCAAGUUGAGAGUUAGCCCAGAUCCCUGGCCCCCUGGUGCAGACCACUCUCUGCUGCUGUGCCCCACAGGGAGAUCUCCUGGGCCUCAGGUGGAGAGGAGUGUCCCGUGGACCACAGUGGUGGUGUCAGUGCCCUGCAUCUGUUCAAAGCCCACCUCUUCAUUCAGAGGGCCCAUUGAUGACCACAAAAAGGAAUGUCCAGUGCAGCUGCGGGUCCACUUGAGCCCUCCAAGCAAGCACUCUCAAGCUCUCUCUGUCUGUGAGCCCUGUGCUUUCAGAGCCUGUUGUUGCAGCGAUGUCUGGAAUCCUCAACACCUGCACACCAGCUUCCUGGGCCUUUCCACACCCUCCCGGCCCGCUCCCUCAGUUCCAUUUGCAUCUGAAAUGCAGCUGCUGGGGCCCUAUAGAGGGGAGCCAAAUGGACAGGCCCUCUCCUUGUUUGGUCUCCCUCCCCUGAGUCAAAGCGAAUCUGAAGCUCCUCUGUGCGAGGCUUUUUGUUGCCUGAGCAUUAUGUUUAAAUGAGCCUCAUCUGCAGGAGAAUUUUUUUUAAUAAAAUAAAAUAA